rnacentral:rRNA from 1 species
AGAGUUUGAUUCUGGCUCAGAUUGAACGCUGGCGGCAGGCCUAACACAUGCAAGUCGAACGGUAACAGGAAGCAGCUUGCUGCUUUGCUGACGAGUGGCGGACGGGUGAGUAAUGUCUGGGAAACUGCCUGAUGGAGGGGGAUAACUACUGGAAACGGUAGCUAAUACCGCAUAACGUCGCAAGACCAAAGAGGGGGACCUUCGGGCCUCUUGCCAUCGGAUGUGCCCAGAUGGGAUUAGCUAGUAGGUGGGGUAACGGCUCACCUAGGCGACGAUCCCUAGCUGGUCUGAGAGGAUGACCAGCCACACUGGAACUGAGACACGGUCCAGACUCCUACGGGAGGCAGCAGUGGGGAAUAUUGCACAAUGGGCGCAAGCCUGAUGCAGCCAUGCCGCGUGUAUGAAGAAGGCCUUCGGGUUGUAAAGUACUUUCAGCGGGGAGGAAGGUGUUGAGGUUAAUAACCUCAGCAAUUGACGUUACCCGCAGAAGAAGCACCGGCUAACUCCGUGCCAGCAGCCGCGGUAAUACGGAGGGUGCAAGCGUUAAUCGGAAUUACUGGGCGUAAAGCGCACGCAGGCGGUCUGUCAAGUCGGAUGUGAAAUCCCCGGGCUCAACCUGGGAACUGCAUUCGAAACUGGCAGGCUAGAGUCUUGUAGAGGGGGGUAGAAUUCCAGGUGUAGCGGUGAAAUGCGUAGAGAUCUGGAGGAAUGCCGGUGGCGAAGGCGGCCCCCUGGACAAAGACUGACGCUCAGGUGCGAAAGCGUGGGGAUCAAACAGGAUUAGAUACCCUGGUAGUC